rnacentral:lncRNA from 1 species
AAUAACUCAUAUUUUUACAAAAUUCUCAAACUAACUCAUUUCAACUAAUCAAGUAACUAUCCACUAAAAUAACAUGUUAUCAUUAAUCCUUAAUUACUCUUUCAUGAUAAUUUAUUUUACACACUAAGAAAGACAAAUGGAUCAAUGUCAAAUUAUUUAUUUCACACUUCUCUUUCUUUCAAUCUUGUGUUGUCACGUGUCUUACUAAACUAUUCAUUAUUUAUCCUAUUAUCUCUCUUAUCCUCUAUAUUUUUCCAAACCCUAACAAUGUCUUCACCCAUUUCUCCAUCUUAUAUAUGGCC